UCGAGAAUCUUCCGCAAUGGGCGAAAGCCUGACGGAGCGACGCCGCGUGUGUGAUGAAGGCCUUCGGGUUGUAAAGCACUGUCAGGGGGGAACAAACACUGAGUGAUCCCCAGAGGAAGCACGGGGUAACAUCGUGCCAGCAGCCGCGGUAAGACGAACCGUGCGAACGUUGUUCGGAAUCACUGGGCUUAAAGGGUGCGUAGGCGGUUGAUCAAGUCAGAGGUGAAAGCUUGCAGCUCAACUGUAAAAGGGCCUUUGAAACUGAUUGACUCGAGGGAGAUAGGGGCAGGUGGAACUUCCAGUGGAGCGGUGAAAUGUGUUGAUAUUGGAAGGAACGCCGGUGGCGAAAGCGACCUGCUGGAUCUCUUCUGACGCUGAGGCACGAAAGCAAGGGGAGCAAACGGGAUUAGAUACCCGCGUAGUCC
rnacentral:rRNA from 1 species